GGUGGCAGCUCAGUGGUAGAGCACUCACCUGACACGUGUGAGGCCUGGGUUUGAUCCUCAGCACCA
rnacentral:tRNA from 1 species